AAAACUUGAAUGAACUCUUUGG
rnacentral:miRNA from 1 species